rnacentral:rRNA from 1 species
GGCGGACGGGUGAGUAACACGUGGGCAACCUGCCUGUAAGACUGGGAUAACCCCGGGAAACCGGAGCUAAUACCGGAUAACUUGGGUCGCCGCAUGGUGACCGAAUAAAAGAUGGUUUCGGCCAUCACUUACAGAGGGGCCCGCGGCGCAUUAGCUAGUUGGUAAGGUAAUGGCUUACCAAGGCACCGAUGCGUAGCCAACCUGAGAGGGUGAUCGGCCACACUGGGACUGAGACACGGCCCAGACUCCUACGGGAGGCAGCAGUAGGGAAUCUUCCGCAAUGGACGAAAGUCUGACGGAGCAACGCCGCGUGAGUGAGGAAGGUUUUCGGAUCGUAAAGCUCUGUUGUUGGUGAAGAACCCUCCUGUUAGGAAAUGAACAGGAGUUGACGGUAGCCAACCAGAAAGCCCCGGCUAACUACGUGCCAGCAGCCGCGGUAAUACGUAGGGGGCAAGCGUUGUCCGGAAUAAUUGGGCGUAAAGCGCGCGCAGGCGGCUUCUUAAGUCUGAUGUGAAAGCCCACGGCUCAACCGUGGAGGGUCAUUGGAAACUGGGGAGCUUGAGGACAGAAGAGGAGAGUGGAAUUCCACGUGUAGCGGUGAAAUGCGUACAUAUGUGGAGGAACACCAGUGGCGAAGGCGGCU